ACGAACGCUGGCGGCGUGCUUAACACAUGCAAGUCGAACGGAAAGGCCCUGCUUUUGUGGGGUGCUCGAGUGGCGAACGGGUGAGUAACACGUGAGUAACCUGCCCUUGACUUUGGGAUAACUUCAGGAAACUGGGGCUAAUACCGGAUAGGAGCUCCUGCUGCAUGGUGGGGGUUGGAAAGUUUCGGCGGUUGGGGAUGGACUCGCGGCUUAUCAGCUUGUUGGUGGGGUAGUGGCUUACCAAGGCUUUGACGGGUAGCCGGCCUAAGAGGGUGACCGGCCACAUUGGGACUGAGAUACGGCCCAGACUCCUACGGGAGGCAGCAGUGGGGAAUAUUGCACAAUGGGCGGAAGCCUGAUGCAGCAACGCCGCGUGCGGGAUGACGGCCUUCGGGUUGUAAACCGCUUUCGCCUGUGACGAAGCGUGAGUGACGGUAAUGGGUAAAGAAGCACCGGCUAACUACGUG
rnacentral:rRNA from 1 species